UCAAUUCUUUACUUGAAGAAACGGUGUCGUUUUGACCGCGGUGCACGGUCCACGACAUAACGACCGAAUUCUAACCUUGUGCCAUGGCCUACGGGCCAAGGGACAGUUUCAGGUAGACAAUUUCUAUGGGGCGUAGGCGUCCCAAAAGGUAACAGAGGCGUGCAAACGUUUCCUCGGGCCGGACGAAGAUCGGCCCUCGAGUGCAAAAGCAGGGAGCUUGACUGCAAGACCCACCCAUCGAGCAGGGACGAAAGUCGGUCACUUCAUUGAUAGCCAAUCAUUAGA
rnacentral:ncRNA from 1 species